rnacentral:lncRNA from 1 species
UCGGGGCCCCUUGGGCUCCCCGGGCCACCCGGGCAAUGAGGUCACCAGGCCUCACUGCGCCCCGCAGCACCCACCGGGCCGGGACACCGAGGACCCACGGUGACGCCGAGGGAGCAGGACAGGGCUGGGGGCUGGGCCCAGGAGACACAAAGGGGCCGAGAUAGCAUCUCCGGCCCUUUUGCGCAGGAUAUGACCAGCCCUCGAGCCGAUGGCGGCCCCUUUGUCCCGUCUCUGGGGACCGAUCUUAUCCGCGGCGUCCUCUGCGGCCAUAAUGGAAAAACGCAGUGAGGAAAUCAAAAGUUACGUGUGGAGAUAGAGGAGUAAUAAAUAAAUAAAUAAGGAGUCGCCGUUGUGCAGGGCGAAGAGGGAGCUGGGAUCCGUGUGAAGUCCCGUGGGGCCGGCAGUCAGGGCACAGCCGGCUCCCCCCAGGGCUGAGUGACAUCGGGCAGCUAGCGGGCCUCAGUUUCCUCAUCUGACCACCUGGCAUGUGCCACUGGCAGAAGGGCAGCUGUGGUGCCUCGGUUUCCCUCCUGGGGCAGGGCUUGGUGAAGGAGCCAGACUCGGGGGGAGCCUGACGGGGGCCCUGGCUGAGGCCGGCCCUGCUCCUGUGCCACGGGGAUGGUGCCGACGGCAGAAACGGUGCUGCUGGGGUCCCAGGGCCAAUGCUAUGGGGCCAGCGAUGGGGCCAGGGGUGCCGGUCACUGCAAUGAUGCAAGUCACACUGGCUGGCGGGCCGGGAUGGUGCCACAGCUCGGCACGGUGGCUGUGAUGGCAGGGGGGACCACACUGACCACUGUGACCAGGGCAGUGGCGGCUGGCGGCCAGUGCCCACCAGGCCUUGCUGCCAGGCCCUUGGGCAGCGUCGGUGGCCCCAGGCUCACUUGGGAGAUGCUCAGGCGGGGAUCAGGCCUGGGCAGGAAGCCGGAGGGCGGAGGAGGAAGCCACGAGAUUAGCACGGUGGCCAAGAUAGCUGCCAGGGCGCAGGCAGAGGCUCCAGAGGGUGGGGGCUGGCGGGCAGUGAGCAGAGGGAGCCAGGCAGGGGCCUAAGAGGUGGGGAGCGGGCCGCCCACCUUGCCAGCCUGUCCCCCCAGGGUACUGGACUGGGUCUGGCCAGCAGGUCCCUCAUCUCAGCUGUACCCCAUUCAGCCUCCUGGGUCGACCACCGCCCGCACUGCAGCCAGGAAGCCCGCUCCAGUGUAAGCCUGCCGGCCCCGAGCCCUGCCCACCCCGCUGUCCCUGCUGCCCUCGGUACUGGCCAGAUACCCACCCUGGCACCGGCCACGGCCCGGCCCUUCACAGGGAGGCAUCCAUCCCCAGGUCGCCUGUCUGCUGGGCUCUGCGCAAACCCCACUGUGCUGUCCCCACCCCGCCCUCUGUGAUCCCACUCUCCCAGCUGCUGCUCCAGGGCAGCGCCUCGCCUGCUGCUCACAGUACCCGCAGUGUCUAGGGCUGGCACACAGUAGGUGCUCCACAGAAAGCAGACCGUGCCUUGCCCUGGCCGUGCCCUUGCCGGGCGCUGCUCCUGCUCAGCAGGGACCUGGCCUCCACUCUCCUGGCGUGGCAGGGUGGGCCCGGCUCGCGCCUUCAGCUUGCGGCUUCCUUUGCUUUCGCUUGAGGGAGGGUGCUGGACACUGAACCCGGGCUCUGUGUGCUGAGUUACAUCCCCACCCUUUUUAUUUUUGAGACAGGGCCUCUUCAGUAGCUGCCCAGGCCCUCCUGCCUCAGCCUCCCAGAGCGCUGGAUCCCCUGGCUCGGUAGUCUCAGUCUCCCACCGGUGCGGGUUCCGGGCCUGGACUGUGCUGGCCCUGGGUGAUCUCCCUCCAGCUCCUGGACAGAUCACAGAUCGGGGCCUGGGCCCCACCCCGCCCAGCAGUGACGGCAGGACUGCUCCCAUCUCACUCACAGCUGCGGGGACACCGGGCUCCUCCCUGAGGCCGGGGUGCCAGCCGCGGGGCAGGGCAGGCCAGGUGCAGCCCUAGGUGCGACACGAGCGCCCUCCAGGGUACUGGCAGGGAGGCUGCCCGGCUGCGCUGGCCCCAGG